rnacentral:lncRNA from 1 species
UUGGGCUGGGAAUAUAGCUCAGUUGUAGAGUGCUUCUCUUGCAUCACAAGGCUCUGGGUUCAAUCCCCAGCACCGCCAAAAAACACCAACAAAAAAACCCCAAGGUUGAUAAGAGAAAUAGACCUAAGCCUGUGGGCAGAAAACAGCAUGGGAGGUGGCCAUGGGGUCAGGAUGUUCCACUCUGAGAGUUUAUUCUCCUUCCCCUUAGGUUCAGUGACCUCUUCUCCCUGGCAGAGGAAUAUGAGGACUCGUCUACUAAGCCACCCAAGAGCCGGCGAAAGGCAGCUCUGUCUAGCCCUCGAAGUCGGAAGAAUGCCACUCAGCCGCCCAAUGCUGAGGAAGAGUCGGGCUCCAGCAGUGCCUCGGUGAGACCCCGUCCAGCACCAUGGGGAGAGGCGCAAUGGGGCGGAUGGAAUGGGGGCCAGCAGGCAGCUGCCCAGCUAGUGAUUUCCCUUCUCCCCAUCCCCGUCUCUUCCAGGAGGAAGAAGACACAAAACCAAAGCCCACCAAGCGGAAACGAAAAGGGUCUUCUGCCGUGGGUUCUGACAGUGACUGAGAUCCUAUGUUCCCCAUCCUACCCUCAAUUGGACUGCCCUCCCCCUGGUGAAUCAAAGGGUAACAGGGCUGGGGAGAUACAGGGAAGAUGCCCUCCCUGCCCUGAGCUUGCCCAGUGGAAAGGAUGAGCUGCUUCUGACACCAGCCUGAGGAGCUGCCGUGCAGCCCCCCUCUGCCUCUCUGUCCUGGGGCCUCCUGUUCCCCACAUUGCCACUUCCACUGCCAUUUGGGUCUCAUGGCAGCCAGAGGCUGUGCCAGACCAGACCCUGGUGGAAUUGAUCAGCUCCCUGCCCCUCCUUCAGCCCCCUCCCCAUCUCCCAAAGAACGCUUAGCAGAGAAGGGCAGUGACAAAGGGGCGCCUGGCUGAGAGGCUAGGACGAGAGCAGGUGCUGGCUGUGGGUCCGCUUCCUGCUUCCCCGGGUUCUGGAUUUGCUCUGAACACAUGCUCUGUGGUCAUUCUCCACACCAGUGUGUAGUGGGCAUCGACCUGGUAUGGUGGCCACUAUUCCAGGCAGAUGCCAUAAACCUUCAGGAAGGAACCUGAAAGGGACUGUGCCCAGGAGGCU